AGCAGGGUCCUCACUGUUGGCACUAUUGACAUUUUGUGCUGGAAAAUUUUUUGUUAUGGGGCUGUCCUGGGCAUUGUAGGAUGUUUAACAACAUCACUGGAAUCUGUCCAUCAGAGGACAUCACCUCCCAACCCUGGUUGUAUUUUAUUUAUUUAUUUAUUUUUUGAGGCAGGGUUUUGCUCUGUUACCCGGGCUGGAGUGCAGUGGCACAGUCACAGCUCACAGUAGCCUCGACGUCCCUGGGCCUAGGUGAUCCUCUUACCUUAGCCUCCUGAGUAGCUGGGACUGCAGGCAUGCACCACCACACCCACAUAAUUAAAAAAAUUUUCUUUGUAGAGACAGAGUCUCCCUGUGUUGCCUGGCUGGUCUGGAACUCCUGGCCUUAAGGGAUCUACCCACCCGGGCCUCCCAAAGUGCUGUGAUUAUAGAUGUGAGCCACCACGCCUGGCCCACCCUGGGUUUUGACAACCAAAAAUGUCUCCUUACAUUGCCAGAUGUUCCCUCGGGUUGAGCAGGGGGAUAGAAAUCACUGUGGAGAGGCAGUUGGAAUAAUAUUACAUCUGCUGUGAUUUAAGUGAGCUCAGGCCCUGGGGACCAGGGCUGAAUCCUGGAGGGAGCAGCCUCGAGGCCAAGGCCUGAAUCUAAUUGAGGUUUAGCUUUUUUGAUUGCUAAAACCAGGUUUCUUGUAAAGUCUGGCAACCUCUACAGUGCUUAAAAUGAGAGGGUUUAUUUGAAUCAUGAUUCUGUGAUACUAGAGCUGGAAGGGACCCUAAAACCCAAUGUCUUCAACCCCUUCCUGGUUCAGAGAUGAAAGUAGGAGCGACAGGGCUAGAAUUCAGGACUCCCACCUCCCAGCUCAGCUCACUGUCCCCACACGCCGUCGACGUAGACACAGUUGCCACGUUUGAUUCAACUUCUCUAUGGUGACUUGGUUACUCAGAGCCCCUUUUGUGGUGGGACCCACUGUGACCUUAGCUGCCCAUUAUGUUCCUAGGGCUUUGGGUCUCACCUGUGAAUUGAUGGCAUCCUUUAACCGGUGCUUUGCAAUCUCUCUCUUUAGUCCGCAACCAUCCCUCUGUUCAUGCGAAACAAAGAUGUCGCUGCAGAAGCGGUCACAGGUAGUGGCAAAACACUCGCUUUUGUCAUCCCCAUCCUGGAAAUUCUUCUGAGAAGAGAAGAGAAGUUAAAAAAGAGUCAGUGGGAACAUCAUUGUGGCCACUCCAGGCCGCUUGGAGGACAUGUUCCGGAGGAAGGCCGAAGGCUUGGAUCUGGCCAGCUGUGUGCGAUCCCUGGAUGUCCUGGUGUUGGAUGAGGCAGACAGACUUCUGGACAUGGGGUUUGAGGCAAGCAUCAACACCAUUCUGGAGUUUUUGCCAAAGCAGAGGAGAACAGGCCUUUUCUCUGCCACUCAGACGCAGGAAGUGGAGAACCUGGUGAGAGCGGGCCUCCGGAACCCUGUCCGGGUCUCAGUGAAGGAGAAGGGCGUGGCAGCCAGCAGUGCCCAGAAGACCCCCUCCCGCCUGGAAAACUACUACAUGGUAUGCAAGGCAGAUGAGAAAUUUAAUCAGCUGGUCCAUUUUCUUCGCAAUCAUAAGCAGGAGAAACACCUGGUCUUCUUCAGCACCUGUGCCUGUGUGGAAUACUAUGGGAAGGCUCUGGAAGUGCUGGUGAAGGGCGUGAAGAUUAUGUGCAUUCAUGGAAAGAUGAAAUAUAAACGCAAUAAGAUCUUCAUGGAGUUCCGCAAAUUGCAAAGUGGGAUUUUAGUGUGCACUGAUGUGAUGGCCCGGGGAAUUGAUAUUCCUGAAGUCAACUGGGUUUUGCAGUAUGACCCUCCCAGCAAUGCAAGUGCCUUCGUGCAUCGCUGCGGUCGCACAGCUCGCAUUGGCCACGGGGGCAGCGCUCUGGUGUUCCUCCUGCCCAUGGAAGAGUCAUACAUCAAUUUCCUUGCAAUUAACCAAAAAGUAAGCUGCCAUCCGUUUUCAGAUAGAAUGCCUAGUGACGGGGUAGCUGGAAAGGUUUUCCAGCAUGUGGUCAGCAAUUGAAAUUACGAAUUGCAAACUCACUGGGGCUGGGCUGGUGGUGGCAGUGGGGGGCCCUGGUGGGUUUUUUUUUUUUUUUUGAGUCGGAGUUUCACUCUUGUUGCCCAGGCUGGAGUGCAAUGGCACUAUCUCGGUUCACCACAACCUCCGCCUUCCGGGUUCAAUGGAUUCUCCUGCCUCAGCCUCCCAAGUAGCUGGGA
rnacentral:sRNA from 1 species